rnacentral:misc_RNA from 1 species
CCUGCUGCUAGUACUCCUCAUAUUGAAGUACCAAAUGAUGAAGUAGAAGAAUUGUCAUUCACACCGCCUAACUUGCAGCAAUCCUCUAGACCUGCUGUAGGACCUUGGUUCACUUUGGAUGACGUGCCGCCUUCCCAAUGGCGAAUCCGGAUUGCAGAGUUUAAAGCUUGGAUUGACACCCAAGUUCUCCAUACUGAUGUUGAUUCCCAUGCUUUCCUUCGAGAGUUUGUGUCAAGAACUGUUGGAACAUUGCAAGAUUGGUUCUCCUCUGUAGGAGAAUAUCACAUUCUACAGUUCUACCAUCUUACUCCUCUUGCUGCUGUAAAUGCCAUUUUUAAUGAGUUUCUUGGAGACGCUUCCCUUUACAAUAAACAACUCAGACAAGAGUUAUUUGACAUGCACUAU